GAUGAACGCUGACAGAAUGCUUAACACAUGCAAGUCGAUUCGAUUUACUUUCGAGUAUUGAGGAUGGCGGACGGGUGAGUAACGCGUAAGGAACUUGCCUCUUGGUCUGGGACAACUGUUGGAAACGACAGCUAAUACCGGAUAUUAUGAGAUUCUCGCAUGGGAAACUUAUGAAAGCUAUAUGCGCCAAGAGAGAGCCUUGCGUUCCAUUAGCUAGUUGGUGGGGUAACGGCCCACCAAGGCGACGAUGGAUAGCCGGCCUGAGAGGGUGAACGGCCACAAGGGGACUGAGACACGGCCCUUACUCCUACGGGAGGCAGCAGUGGGGAAUAUUGNNNNNNGGGGGNNNNNGCNUGAUCCAGCAAUUCUGUGUGCACGAUGAAGGUCUUCGGAUUGUAAAGUGCUUUCAGUUGGGAAGAAGAAAGUGACGGUACCAACAGAAGAAGCGACGGCUAAAUACGUGCCAGCAGCCGCGGUAAUACGUAUGUCGCAAGCGUUAUCCGGAUUUAUUGGGCGUAAAGCGCGUCUAGGCGGAAAAAUAAGUCUGAUGUUAAAAUGCGGGGCUCAACUCCGUAUUGCGUUGGAAACUGNUUUUCUAGAGUACUGGAGAGGUG
rnacentral:rRNA from 1 species